rnacentral:rRNA from 1 species
AACGAACGCUGGCGGCAUGCCUAACACAUGCAAGUCGAACGAGACCUUCGGGUCUAUUGGCGCACGGGUGCGUAACGCGUGGGAACCUGCCCUUAGGUUCGGAAUAACUCCCCGAAAGGGGUGCUAAUACCGGAUAAUGUCUUCGGACCAAAGAUUUAUCGCCUUUGGAUGGGCCCGCGUUGGAUUAGCUAGUUGGUAGGGUAAAAGCCUACCAAGGCGACGAUCCAUAGCUGGUCUGAGAGGAUGAUCAGCCACACUGGGACUGAGACACGACCCAGACUCCUACGGGAGGGAGCAGUGGGGAAUAUUGGACAAUGGGCGAAAGCCUGAUCCAGCAAUGCCGCGUGAGUGAUGAAGGCCUUAGGGUUGUAAAGCUCUUUUACCCGGGAUGAUAAUGACAGUACCGGGAGAAUAAGCUCCGGCUAACUCCGUG